CCAGCAGCCGCGGUAAUCCAGCUCCAAUAGCGUAUAUUAAAGUGUUGCAGUUAAAAGCUCGUAGUUGAAUUUCGAGAUCGGCUUACUGGUCGUGCUUUUGUACGUACUGGUAUAAUCGGUUUCUCCUUUCUGACGAACUUUUAAUGCCAUUAAUUUGGUGUUUUAGGGAAUCAGGACUGUUACUUGAAAAAUUAGAGUGUUUAAAGCAGGCUCACGCUUGAAUACAUUAGCAUGGAAUAACGGAAUAGGACGUUUGAUUCUAUUUUAGUUGGUUUCUAGGGAUCGACGUAAUGAUUAAUAGGGAUAGUUGGGGGGCAUUAGUAUUCAAUUGUCAGAGGUGAAAUUCUUGGAUUUAUUGAAGACUAACUACUGCGAAAGCAUUUGCCAAGGAUGUUUUCAUUAAUCAAGAACGAAAGUUAGGGGGAUCGAAGACGAUCAGAUACCGUCGUAGUCUUAACCAUAAACUAUGCCGACUAGGGAUCGGAUGAUGUUAAUUUUUUAAUGACUCAUUCGGCGCCUUACGG
rnacentral:rRNA from 1 species